rnacentral:rRNA from 1 species
UACGAGGGGGGCGAGCGUUGUUCGGAAUUAUUGGGCGUAAAGGGUGCGUAGGCGGUUUGGUAAGUCUGAUGUGAAAUCUAUGGGCUCAACUCAUAGUCUGCAUCGGAAACUGCCGGGCUUGAGUAUGGGAGAGGUGAGUGGAAUUCCUGGUGUAGCGGUGAAAUGCGUAGAUAUGUCACAGAACACCAAUUGCGAAGGCAGCUUACUAAAGUAUGAUUGACGCUGAGGCACGAAAGCGUGGGGAUCAAACAGG